GCUUAACACAUGCAAGUCGAGGGGCAGCAUGAACUUAGCUUGCUAAGUUUGAUGGCGACCGGCGCACGGGUGAGUAACACGUAUCCAACCUGCCGAUGACUCGGGGAUAGCCUUUCGAAAGAAAGAUUAAUACCCGAUGGCAUAGUUCUUCCGCAUGGUGGAACUAUUAAAGAAUUUCGGUCAUCGAUGGGGAUGCGUUCCAUUAGGUUGUUGGCGGGGUAACGGCCCACCAAGCCUUCGAUGGAUAGGGGUUCUGAGAGGAAGGUCCCCCACAUUGGAAAUGAGACACGGUCCAAACUCCUACGGGAGGCAGCAGUGAGGAAUAUUGGUCAAUGGACGAGAGUCUGAACCAGCCAAGUAGCGUGAAGGAUGACUGCCCUAUGGGUUGUAAACUUCUUUUAUACGGGAAUAAAGUGAGGCACGUGUGCCUUUUUGUAUGUACCGUAUGAAUAAGGAUCGGCUAACUCCGUGCCAGCAGCCGCGGUAAUACGGAGGAUCCGAGCGUUAUCCGGAUUUAUUGGGUUUAAAGGGAGCGUAGGCGGACGCUUAAGUCAGUUGUGAAAGUUUGCGGCUCAACCGUAAAAUUGCAGUUGAUACUGGGUGUCUUGAGUACAGUAGAGGCAGGCGGAAUUCGUGGUGUAGCGGUGAAAUGCUUAGAUAUCACGAAGAACUCCGAUUGCGAAGGCAGCUUGCUGGACUGUAA
rnacentral:rRNA from 1 species